rnacentral:lncRNA from 1 species
CCGAGGCCGCCCAUCCCGCCGAGCCCACCAAGGCCGCCCAUCCCGCCGAGCCCACCGAGGCCGCCCAUCCCGCCGAGGCCACCGAGGCCGGCCAUCGCGUCCAGGCCGGCCAUGCCGGGCGGGUAGCCGAGGUCGUCGUCGUCCAUUCCCCCCGCGCCGAUGGGAAGCUAGCGGAAGCUUCUAGAAGGGGGACGUGCCUUCUUGCGAUUUCCGAGACUGAUGAGAGAUUUUCCUUUUUCUUUUU